UGAACACCCAAAAGUUUGCCCGAUACAGCACAGAAGAGUGAAUGAAAAUGCUGUGCGUGUUCAGCCUACAUCUGAUUCACAGCUGUUUGGGGAAGAACAACACUACUUAUUUGUAACUACCAAGUAUUUCCUACCCUGGUUGUAAGACAUAAUAAUGGACUUUUUGCUGUGGUCUGACAUGAAAAUUCAAACUUGUCAGAAGACUGUAAAGCACGUGACCAAGAAAGGAGACAGUGUGUCAAAAGUAACACAGGAAAAAGUUGCCUCCUCUUUGCUUGCAGAAUGCACUUUUGUCACUUUCUUGUAUGGAGCCACUUUAUUACAGCUAUUAAGAAACAUUGCAUGAGAUCCUGAAGUUGUAAAGAAGACGAAAUGAGACGGUGCUGCACAAGUACUUGCAGAGACAUUCCAAGUCCUAAAUAUCAAUCAUCUGAAUUGCAAAGGCUGUUUAUAUGUGUAUAUGGUUCAAAGAAAAUAUAUUGGCAACACAAAAAUACUGGUAAUUCAGUAAUAUGUACCCAGUUCAUGUGUAGCAAGGAGAUAAUUUUAUGUUCUUGCUUUUACUUUAGAUACUAACAUUCUCAUCAGGAUCUAGACAAACAUUGUUUGACUGCCUGUUUCUGAUUCAGAGACAAUCAUAGACAGAGCACACCCUCUGACAAGGCAGCUCCAAGGACUGGUAAAAACGUUUGAUGUUGAAAUCAAAACACAUUACUCCAAAUACAUCACCAUCAUUUGGCUUCUGUUUGCACUGGAUUAAAAAAGUUUCAGUGCUUCAAGUGGAAAUAAUUUCUCAGUUUUUCUGGGUUUGAUUCCAGGUGAUAGUGAUAAAUGCUUUUUGUCUAAGGGGUGUCCUUGUUCUUUAUCUACAACAACUGGGACAGAAAAUAGCAUAGCCUUCUUAUAUGUUUCCUCCUCUAAAGCAAUUGCUAAGUGUCUUGAAUAUAGUAUUGCCUUUCUUGAAAGAUUGUCCAUAAGGAUUUUACAGCAAAAGUACUGCUAUGCUUCUGAUCCCUGACUGUGUGCUGUACAUAUUCAGUUUACUUUCACAACAGUCAAUAUUUGAAUAUUUGGACUUUUCAAGCAACUGCUUAUCACAGUCCAUUGAGAGAGGGACAAGCAUUGUAUGGGGUGAAAUUCUGUUUCCACGGAGUUAGCAGAAGCUUUUUUCACUUCUUAAAGUCGAUCAUAACUUCAGCUAUGUCUUUUACCUUCGUUAGAUUAAAUUCUGCAGUUUGGUUGAAGAACCUAACAUACACAAACAUAUAGGUGUUUCAUUCACCCCUAAAUCUCCUUUCCAAAUUAAAACCACAAAUUCUCCUUGCUUUUAUGUUUAAAUGAGAAAGUAUUCAAGGAAGGGAUCACUUAUAUGUAACAUUAAGAAGGUCUGUGCUAUGAUCUGCCAUUUCUAAAAUCUCUUAGUUUUCUAGGAUGUUAUAGAACUAAAUAUAAACUGCCCCAGAAUAACUGUGUGAGGACAAGAAUAACACAUGGUGGAUAGCAGUAGUCUUGCUGUGAUGAAUUUUGAAAAGCCGUGCAGGGUAGAAUUCAGGUUCCACAUAGAAACACUGAAUCAUAAAAUAAUAGAAUGUCCUGAGUUGGAAGGGACCCACAAGGAUCAUCAAGUCUAACUCUUGUCCCUGCACAUGACAACCCCACAGUUCAGACCAUGUGUCUGACGGUGUUGUCCAGUCUCUUCUUGAACACUGCCAGGCUUGGGGCCGUGACACCUCCCUGGGGAGCCUGUUCCAGUGCUCCACCACCCUCUGGGGGAAGAACCUUUUCCUAAUAUCCAGCCAAAACCUCCCCUGGCACAUCUUCCUGUCACUCAAGAUACAUGUUGCUGUGUACUUUCACUUUCCAUAAAUAUUUUUCUAUAACUUUUCGGUGGUCAAACAACUACAAGUUACCUUAAUCUAUGUAGUUCUUUAAGUCAUCUGGGUCUUAUUGUUCUUGUGUGUUCUCCAUUACUAGAAUCAAUGCCUUCUUUUUGCUAUUUUUCAUAUCAUGAAUGAAAAGAAAAUUAUUCUUUCUCUGACAUGUCCAAUUUAUUGCAUUAUUUAUGACAAUUUUUCUCUCCCAUUGUUGUUCUUAAAUCUUAGUUCCUCUCAGAGCCUAUUUCAUAUAUUUUUUUGGAAAUAUGCACAAGAUGCUUUCUGCAUACUUCUAUUUCAAAUAGAAAUAGCUGUUUGACUUUGUAGUACAUUUGGCCACACAGUAUUAUAGCCAAAUAAAAAACGAACUUAAGUAACUGGAAAUCCACCAGUACAAUAUUAGAACUAAGCAAAUAAUUUCUGGUUUGCAGUAAAUACUUUGACAUACUGUGUUCUAUUUCGAACCCUUUAGUUGUCUGUAUGUACACUUCAAUACUUUAUUUUAUUCAGAUAAAUUUUUGGUCUACAAAGUAGGGCUGUAUGAAUGUCUUUGGAGCACAUUUCUGCUGUUUGACUGACUGAAAGCCUCUCUUACGUUUUAAUACCAAACUUUAACAUUUAUUAAAUUUUCUGUUCUUCUUCUGUAGUGCACACUUAGCGUGCCCAUGCUUUGUAUGAUUCCUGAAUCUUUCAAAUUUUGCUGAGGAAUUUAUCUCAUUGCUUCAGACCCCCUUGUGAAUGCUAUGUUCCAACAAAAUUCUCAUACCCUCCUCAGUGUAAAUAUAGCCUUAAAUCUGCUUGAAAACAAGUGAAAUGUGAUAUUUUUUUUUUUGAUGUCACAUAUGAUAAAUUCCUCUACAGCUUCUUUGAGAAUAUAGCUUCCGUUGUGCAAUUGUAUAUAUGUGCCACUACACAGAUGAUACAAAUGUAUUGGACAUCUGUUUCAUGAACAAUAUCUUGUGCUUGACAGAAUGCAGUGUUAUGGACAUAUUCCUUCAAACAGCUUCAAAGUAACAAUAAAAUUCAGCA